ensembl:miRNA MIR429 microRNA mir-429
GCCGCCGAUGGGUGUCUUACCAGGCACGGUUAGAUCUGGUUCUUCUGUCUAAUACUGUCUGGUAAUGCCGUCCAUUCCCGG